CCUAUCCCUGUUGUGCCUUGCCUCCACGACUGGGCGUAAAGCGUCCGCAGGUGGCUAGCUCAACUGUAACCCUGCCGUUUGAAACUGUUUUCCUUUGAGUGCGGACAAGGCAGGCGGAACUCGUGGUGUAGCGGUGAAAUGCUUAGAUAUCACGAAGAACUCCGAUUGCGAAGGCAGCUUGCCGGGCCGCAACUGACGCUGAAGCACGAAAGUGUGGUUAUCAAACAGGAUUAGAUACCCUGGUAGUCCACACCGUAAACGAUGAAUACUCGCUGUUUGCGAUACAAUGUAAGCGGCCAAGCGAAAGCAUUAAGUAUUCCACCUGGGGACUACGCCGGCAACGGUGAAACUCAAAGGAAUUGACGGGGGCCCGCACAAGCGGAGGAACAUGUGGUUUAAUUCGAUGAUACGCGAGGAACCUUACCCGGGCUUGAAUUGCAUCUGACGUGACCGGAAACGGUCA
rnacentral:rRNA from 1 species